rnacentral:rRNA from 1 species
CUACGGGAGUCUGUAGUGGGGAAUAUUGGACAAUGGGCGAAAGCCUGAUCCAGCCAUGCCGCGUGUGUGAAGAAGGCCUUCGGGUUGUAAAGCACUUUCAGUGGGGAAGAAAGCCUUGGGGCUAAUACCCUCGAGGAAGGACAUCACCCACAGAAGAAGCACCGGCUAACUCCGUGCCAGCAGCCGCGGUAAUACGGAGGGUGCGAGCGUUAAUCGGAAUUACUGGGCGUAAAGCGCGCGUAGGCGGUCUGAUAAGCCGGUUGUGAAAGCCCCGGGCUCAACCUGGGAACGGCAUCCGGAACUGUCAGGCUAGAGUGCAGGAGAGGAAGGUAGAAUUCCCGGUGUAGCGGUGAAAUGCGUAGAGAUCGGGAGGAAUACCAGUGGCGAAGGCGGCCUUCUGGACUGACACUGACGCUGAGGUGCGAAAGCGUGGGUAGCAAACAGGAUUAGAUACCCCAGUAGUC